ACGGGAGGCAGCAGUGAGGAAUAUUGGUCAAUGGGCGAAAGCCUGAACCAGCCAAGUCGCGUGAAGGAUGAAGGUAUUAUGUAUUGUAAACUUCUUUAGCAGCAGAGUAAUAAGGGGGUCGUGACCCCCGAUGCAAGUAUGCUGAAAAUAAGGAUCGGCUAACUCCGUGCCAGCAGCCGCGGUAAUACGGAGGAUCCGAGCGUUAUCCGGAUUUAUUGGGUUUAAAGGGUGCGCAGGCGGUUUUUAAGUCAGUGGUUAAAUCGUGAGGCUCAACCUCAUCACGCCAUUGAUACUGGAAGACUUGAUUGCGGUUGAGGUUGGCGGAAUUCGUCGUGUGGCGGUGAAAUGCAUAGAUAUGACGAAGAACUCCGAUCGCGAAGGCAGGUGUCCGGGGUGUAACUGACGCUGAGGCUCGAAAGUGCGGGUAUCAAACAGGAUUAGAUACCCUGGUA
rnacentral:rRNA from 1 species